rnacentral:rRNA from 1 species
GUCGAGCGGGCACCUUCGGGUGUCAGCGGCAGACGGGUGAGUAACACGUGGGAACGUACCCUUCGGUUCGGAAUAACGCUGGGAAACUAGCGCUAAUACCGGAUACGCCCUUUUGGGGAAAGGUUUACUGCCGAAGGAUCGGCCCGCGUCUGAUUAGCUAGUUGGUGGGGUAAUGGCCUACCAAGGCGACGAUCAGUAGCUGGUCUGAGAGGAUGAUCAGCCACACUGGGACUGAGACACGGCCCAGACUCCUACGGGAGGCAGCAGUGGGGAAUAUUGGACAAUGGGCGCAAGCCUGAUCCAGCCAUGCCGCGUGAGUGAUGAAGGCCUUAGGGUUGUAAAGCUCUUUUGUCCGGGACGAUAAUGACGGUACCGGAAGAAUAAGCCCCGGCUAACUUCGUGCCAGCAGCCGCGGUAAUACGAAGGGGGCUAGCGUUGCUCGGAAUCACUGGGCGUAAAGGGCGCGUAGGCGGCCAUUCAAGUCGGGGGUGAAAGCCUGUGGCUCAACCACAGAAUUGCCUUCGAUACUGUUUGGCUUGAGUAUGGCAGAGGUCAGUGGAACUGCGAGUGUAGAGGUGAAAUUCGUAGAUAUUCGCAAGAACACCAGUGGCGAAGGCGGCUGACUGGGCCAUUACUGACGCUGAGGCGCGAAAGCGU